UACGAAGGGGGCGAGCGUUGUUCGGAAUCACUGGGCGUAAAGGGCGCGUAGGCGGCCCUCUUAGUCGCGUGUGAAAGCCCCGGGCUCAACCUGGGAACGGCGCGCGAAACGGGAGGGCUGGAGUUCGGGAGAGGAGAGUGGAAUUCCCAGUGUAGAGGUGAAAUUCGUAGAUAUUAGGAAGAACACCAGUGGCGAAGGCGGCUCACUGGCCCGGUACUGACGCUGAGGCGGCGAAAAGCGUGGGGAGCAACAGG
rnacentral:rRNA from 1 species